AGAGUUUGAUCCUGGCUCAGGACGAACGCUGGCGGCGUGCUUAACACAUGCAAGUCGAACGGAGCACCCUUGAAUGAGGUUUCGGCCAAAGGAAAGGAAUGCUUAGUGGCGGACUGGUGAGUAACGCGUGAGGAACCUGCCUUUCAGAGGGGGACAACAGCUGGAAACGGCUGCUAAUACCGCAUGACGCAUUCGGAUGGCAUCAUCUGAAUGCCAAAGAUUUAUCGCUGAAAGAUGGCCUCGCGUCUGAUUAGAUAGUUGGCGGGGUAACGGCCCACCAAGUCGACGAUCAGUAGCCGGACUGAGAGGUUGACCGGCCACAUUGGGACUGAGAUACGGCCCAGACUCCUACGGGAGGCAGCAGUGGGGAAUAUUGGGCAAUGGGCGCAAGCCUGACCCAGCAACGCCGCGUGAAGGAAGAAGGCUUUCGGGUUGUAAACUUCUUUUAAGAGGGAAGAGCAGAAGACGGUACCUCUUGAAUAAGCCACGGCUAACUACGUGCCAGCAGCCGCGGUAAUACGUAGGUGGCAAGCGUUGUCCGGAUUUACUGGGUGUAAAGGGCGUGCAGCCGGGCAUGCAAGUCAGAUGUGAAAUCUCAGGGCUCAACCCUGAAACUGCAUUUGAAACUGUAUGUCUUGAGUGCCGGAGAGGUAAUCGGAAUUCCUUGUGUAGCGGUGAAAUGCGUAGAUAUAAGGAAGAACACCAGUGGCGAAGGCGGAUUACUGGACGGUAACUGACGGUGAGGCGCGAAAGCGUGGGGAGCAAACAGGAUUAGAUACCCUGGUAGUCCACGCUGUAAACGAUGGAUACUAGGUGUGCGGGGACUGACCCCCUGCGUGCCGCAGUUAACACAAUAAGUAUCCCACCUGGGGAGUACGAUCGCAAGGUUGAAACUCAAAGGAAUUGACGGGGGCCCGCACAAGCGGUGGAUUAUGUGGUUUAAUUCGAAGCAACGCGAAGAACCUUACCAGGUCUUGACAUCCUGCUAACGAAGUAGAGAUACAUCAGGUGCCCUUCGGGGAAAGCAGAGACAGGUGGUGCAUGGUUGUCGUCAGCUCGUGUCGUGAGAUGUUGGGUUAAGUCCCGCAACGAGCGCAACCC
rnacentral:rRNA from 1 species